GUGCAGGCGAUACGGGCAUAACUUGAGUACUGUAGGGGAGACUGGAAUUCCUGGUGUAGCGGUGAAAUGCGCAGAUAUCAGGAGGAACACCGGUGGCGAAGGCGGGUCUCUGGGCAGUAACUGACGCUGAGGAGCGAAAGCAUGGGGAGCGAACAGGAUUAGAUACCCUGGUAGUCCAUGCCGUAAACGGUGGGCGCUAGGUGUGGGUUUCCUUCCACGGGAUCCGUGCCGUAGCUAACGCAUUAAGCGCCCCGCCUGGGGAGUACGGCCGCAAGGCUAAAACUCAAAGGAAUUGACGGGGGCCCGCACAAGCGGCG
rnacentral:rRNA from 1 species